GUGCUUGCUUCAGCAGCACAUAUAUUAAACCAGAAUGAUACAGAGAAGAUUAGCAUGGCCCCUGCACAAGGGUAACAUGCAAAUUUGUGAAGCAUUCCAUAUUACA
rnacentral:snRNA from 1 species